AUCGAAAGAAGAGGUUGCCAAACUCAUGAGUCAUGACUGGGAGAUCAAAAAGGAUCGCUAAUCAGUCAUAAAAGGGUGUUUGGCCGAAAUUCAAAGUUGCUUUUUCAACUGCGAGUUGGGUCCUGGCUCAAUAAGUCAGGGACUGUCGUGAUAUUUUCAAAGGUAUCACGGGGCGCUAUCUACGAU
rnacentral:ncRNA from 1 species